rnacentral:rRNA from 1 species
GACGAACGCUGGCGGCGUGCCUAACACAUGCAAGUCGAGCGAGCGGGGGACGGGGGAGUAAUGUAUGUGGACUGCCACCUAGAGGCGGAUGACUACUGGAAACAGUAGCUAAUAACGCAUACUAUCGGAUAACCAAUAGGGGGUUGGCUAGUAGGUGAGGUAAUGGCUCACCUAGCCGACGAUCCCUGGCUGGUCUGAGAGGCUGAUCAGCCACACUGGUACUGAGACACGGCCCAGACUCCUACGGAGGCAGCAGUGGGGAAUCUUGCACAAUGGGCGCAAGCCUGAUGCAGCAAUGCCGCGUGUAUGAAGAAGGCCCUCGGGUCGUAAAGUACUUUCAGUCGGGAGGCGUUACCGACUGAGGAAGCAACGGCUAACUCCGUGCCAGCAGCCGCGGUAAUAC